UUUCCGUAGGUGAACCUGCGGAAGGAUCAUUAUUGUAUAACCGAGGUGCGAGGGCUGUCGCUGACCCGAAAGGUCGUGCACGCCCGAGUGCCCUCACACACAUCCAUCUCACCCCUAUGUGCACCACCGCGUGGGUCCCCCUUUGGCUUGUUCGGAGGGGGGCUUACGUUUUCACACAAACUUUGUAUGCAGUGUAGAAUGUAUUUCUUGUCUUUGCGAUCACGCAAUCAAUACAACUUUCAACAACGGAUCUCUUGGCUCUC
rnacentral:misc_RNA from 1 species